rnacentral:tRNA from 1 species
UUUAUCUUGGUGUAGUGAGCACACAAAAUUUUGAUAUUUAAGGUAGGAGACUAGGU